rnacentral:piRNA from 1 species
GUUAUGGUCUCUUAAGUGGUAAUUGC